GCCUGGCUGGCUCAGUUGGUAGAGCCUGUGACUCUUGAUCUCAGGGUUGUAAAUUCGAGCCUCAUGUUGGGUG
rfam:Canis lupus familiaris chromosome 36, whole genome shotgun sequence.